UACGUAGGGACCAAGCGUUGUCCGGAAUCAUUGGGCGUAAAGAGCGUGUAGGCGGCUUGUUAAGUCUUGCGUGAAAUCUCGGGGCUCAACCCCGAGCGGUCGUGAGAAACUGGCAGGCUAGAGUGCGGGAGAGGAGAGUGGAAUUCCUGGUGUAGCGGUGAAAUGCGUAGAUAUCUGGAGGAACACCGGUGGCGAAGGCGGCAUCCUGGACCGGCAUUGACGCUGAGGCGCGAAAGCUAGGGGAGCAAACGGG
rnacentral:rRNA from 1 species